UGGGGAAUUUUGGACAAUGGGCGCAAGCCUGAUCCAGCCAUGCCGCGUGAGUGAAGAAGGCCUUCGGGUUGUAAAGCUCUUUCGGCCGGAACGAAAUCGUCCGGGCUAAUACCCCGGAUGGAUGACGGUACCGGAAGAAGAAGCACCGGCUAACUACGUGCCAGCAGCCGCGGUAAUACGUAGGGUGCAGGCGUUAAUCGGAAUUACUGGGCGUAAAGCGUGCGCAGGCGGCUACUCAAGUCAGAUGUGAAAUCCCCGGGCUUAACCUGGGAACUGCGUUUGAAACUGGGUGGCUAGAGUGCGGCAGAGGGGGGUGGAAUUCCACGUGUAGCAGUGAAAUGCGUAGAUAUGUGGAGGAACACCGAUGGCGAAGGCAGCCCCCUGGGCCUGCACUGACGCUCAUGCACGAAAGCGUGGGGAGCAA
rnacentral:rRNA from 1 species